ACAGCAUUUCCUAUGCCUCGAAAUCUACCGGAGGGAGUACAAUGUCUUUCACUAUGACUAUCAACUAUUUAUCACAAACUGAAUCCUCUUUCUGCUUCAUUCUGCAUUCUAUAGUGUUGCCUGUGCCCCUACCAAUAUGACACUUUAUUAACUUGAAACACUGGCAUGCAAGAAAGGAGUAAUGCAAAAUGGAACGGACAGAUCAACUCCAAGUAACCACGGCCGCUUAUUCAUUUUGAAUUGGGGCCAAUUAUUAUCAUUUUUGAGGAAGUAUAUAUUGUUUCUUGUAUAUGUUAA
rnacentral:misc_RNA from 1 species